AUAAAAUAUGAAUUCGAUAAAAACUAGUGACUUCUCGCGAGUGACAGUCGUUUGUGUGUACAGUCGCCAAUGACAACGAUACAGCCAAGUUAAGAAUGCUUUGCUGUUUCAAGGAACAUCGUGA